CUACGGGUCGCUGCAGUGGGGAAUAUUGCACAAUGGACGAAAGUCUGAUGCAGCAACGCCGCGUGGAGGAUGACACAUUUCGGUGCGUAAACUCCUUUUAUAGGUCAAGAUAAUGACGGUAGCCUAUGAAUAAGCGCCGGCUAACUCCGUGCCAGCAGCCGCGGUAAUACGGAGGGCGCAAGCGUUACUCGGAAUCACUGGGCGUAAAGAGCGUGUAGGCGGGUUAAUAAGUCAGAAGUGAAAUCCAAUGGCUCAACCAUUGAACUGCUUUUGAAACUGUUAACCUAGAGUAUGGGAGAGGUAGAUGGAAUUUCUGGUGUAGGGGUAAAAUCCGUAGAGAUCAGAAGGAAUACCGAUUGCGAAGGCGAUCUACUGGAACAUUACUGACGCUGAGACGCGAAAGCGUGGGGAGCAAACAGGAUUAGAUACCCUUGUAGUC
rnacentral:rRNA from 1 species